rnacentral:rRNA from 1 species
CCCUUAGAUGUUCUGGGCCGCACGCGCGCUACACUGAUGCAUUCAACGAGUUUCUUCCUGGUCCGAGAGGAAUGGGUAACCUUUUGAAAGUGCAUCGUGAUAGGGAUAGACUAUUGCAAUUAUUGGUCUUCAACGAGGAAUUCCUAGUAGACGUAGUUCAUUAGACUGCAUCGAUUACGUCCCUGCCCUUUGUACACACCGCCCGUCGCUCCUACCGAUUGAAUGCUCAGGUGAGCCAUUCGGACUUUCAUCAUGCUGGUUUCCAGUUUUGAUGAAGGAAAGUCUUGCGAACCUUAUCAUUUAGAGGAAGGAGAAGUCGUAACA